rnacentral:rRNA from 1 species
UACGAAGGGAGCUAGCGUUGUUCGGAAUCACUGGGCGUAAAGCGCACGUAGGCGGACGUGUCAGUCAGGGGUGAAAUCCCGGAGCUCAACUUCGGAACUGCCUUUGAUACAGCACGUCUUGAGUCCGGAAGAGGUGAGUGGAAUUCCGAGUGUAGAGGUGAAAUUCGUAGAUAUUCGGAGGAACACCAGUGGCGAAGGCGGCUCACUGGCUCGGUACUGACGCUGAGGUGCGAAAGCGUGGGGAGCAAACAGG